CCUACGGGAGGCAGCAGUGAGGAAUAUUGGUCAAUGGCCGCAAGGCUGAACCAGCCAAGCCGCGUGAGGGAUGACGGUCCUAUGGAUUGUAAACCUCUUUUGUCAGGGAGCAAAGGGCGCCACGUGUGGCGCUUUGCGAGUACCGUAAGAAAAAGGAUCGGCUAACUCCGUGCCAGCAGCCGCGGUAAUACGGAGGGUGCGAGCGUUAUCCGGAUUUACUGGGUGUAAAGGGAGCGUAGACGGUGCGCCAAGUCAGGAGUGAAAUGCCGCAGCUUAACUGGGGAACUGCCUUGGAAACUGGCGAACUAGAGUGUGGGAGGGGUAAGCGGAAUUCCUGGUGUAGCGGUGAAAUGCGUAGAUAUUAGGAGGAACACCGGUGGCGAAGGCGGCUUACUGGACCAUAACUGACGUUGAGGCUCGAAAGCGUGGGGAGCAAACAGGAUAAGAUACCCGAGUAGUC
rnacentral:rRNA from 1 species